rnacentral:rRNA from 1 species
AGUGAACGCUGGCGGUAGGCCUAACACAUGCAAGUCGAACGGCAGCACAGUAAGAGCUUGCUCUUACGGGUGGCGAGUGGCGGACGGGUGAGGAAUACAUCGGAAUCUACUUUUUCGUGGGGGAUAACGUAGGGAAACUUACGCUAAUACCGCAUACGACCUACGGGUGAAAGCAGGGGAUCGUCGGACCUUGCGCGAUUGAAUGAGCCGAUGUCGGAUUAGCUAGUUGGCGGGGUAAAGGCCCACCAAGGCGACGAUCCGUAACUGGUCUGAGAGGAUGAUCAGCCACACUGGAACUGAGACACGGUCCAGACUCCUACGGGAGGCAGCAGUGGGGAAUAUUGGACAAUGGGCGGAAGCCUGAUCCAGCCAUACCGCGUGGGUGAAGAAGGCCUUCGGGUUGUAAAGCCCUUUUGUUGGGAAAGAAAAGCAGCAGGUUAAUACCCCGCUGUUCUGACGGUACCCAAAGAAUAAGCACCGGCUAACUUCGUG